rnacentral:rRNA from 1 species
UACGUAGGGGGCAAGCGUUGUCCGGAAUCAUUGGGCGUAAAGAGCGCGCAGGCGGUCGUGCAAGUCGCGUGUGAAAGCCCCCGGCUCAACUGGGGAGGGUCACGCGAUACUGUUCGACUCGAAGGCAGGAGAGGGAAGCGGAAUUCCCGGUGUAGUGGUGAAAUGCGUAGAUAUCGGGAGGAACACCAGUGGCGAAGGCGGCUUCCUGGCCUGUUCUUGACGCUGAGGCGCGAAAGCUAGGGUAGCAAACGGG